AUGAUCUUAAUUCUUUUGUUAAACGUGCCACUUAGAUGCCAUAUAUUUUCCUCUGCUCCAGCAAGUCAAUUAUCUGUAGGCUUACAGCUCAAAUCAGUAUUUAGCCAUGUUAUAAGAGAUGUAUCUAAACAGUACAGACAGCUUCCUCCUGUGUUGUGUUCUUCUUCCUCAGACCCAUUGAAACUGCAAAAGGAUCAUCUGAAGAUUGAACUUCAAACCCUUUCUCAUGCAAAUUGUGUAAUUCUCAAUGCUGUGUGCAGUUCUGAAACUGAGCUUGGGAAAACCUUCAUCCAAAGCCAAGUGCAAUCAUUACCACCAACCCAAGGGUUUUGUCUGAAUGAGCAUUUAAUGAUUGAAUCCAGUGGGAUUAUUCCUAUGAAAAAGCUAUUCUAGCCCUCAGGUCCACAAAAUUAAGCCUUCUGAGCAGAGGUUAGCAGGAAGACGAUGACCAUCCCAUCCCUUUGUUUUCUUGAGCAUUGACCUUGGAAGAAGGAGGCCUAGAAGACUCAAAUCUUCCAUUUUCUAUUUAGAUAUCUUCUUUACAGG
rnacentral:lncRNA from 1 species